GAUCCAGCUUUGUACAAGCCCUUUUUAACUUAGUACUACUUAGAAGCUAUUACAUGACGAUGAUAUGAAUUAACAACAAUAAUUGUCAGGCUCAUUGCCUGCUGUUUAAAAAAAAAAGGAAAACAUAUUUUAAUAACUAUGUGGUCUUCAGGCAUUUGCAUUGAAGGAGGAGUUGGAGCUGAGGCUCCUGGGGAAAGCUUGCAUGUGCCAUACAAUAAUUUGAUGGACUUGCGGUGUUGGUUAACCGCAACAACUGCUGCUUCAUCACUGCAGUGAUCAAAAAACCCACACCAUCACAGCUCUAGUAAUACAUUUUUAAAAAAGGCUUUUGGACUGUCUGGUGCAUUUAUAAUGUCCACAGAAAGAAAACAGUAAUAAUUUCUAUCUUAAUUUGUAAUCGAAGAAAAGAGUAACCAAAUAGUAACCUCUACAUUAAUAAUUAGAAAAGCUGUAGAGAUGGAGACCUAUGUAGAAACAUAAUAACCCUUGGAAUAAAUGAAAACCGGGUCAACAUUCUGGAGAAAAGACUGGACGAUAUAGAACAACAAGUGAAGAGCGGUGUGAACCCCCAACAACAACUUAGAUACGUUCACAGGAACCCUGAUUUGGAAUGGCAAACGUAUUGGCCUGGACAACAACAAGGUCCUGCUGAGGGGAUGUACCCUGAAAAACACAGAAUGGUGCUUUGGCCUGCUCAUCUUUGCAGGGGAGCUCAACUACCAGGCUCAGUCACCUGAUGAGAGCGCUGUGGUAACCGCAGUUAGGAACUUUGGCUUUGUGUUCCAUUCUCGCACACCAGAAACCAUCCCAGUCAUGGAGAUGGGCAAAAAAGUCAUAUAUGAGCUUGCAGCUGUCCGCAAUAGGCGGAAGAGGACGUCAGUCAUAGGAAAGACCACCCUCUUCUGCAAAGGAGCAGACAGAGUUGUCUUUGAGAGACUGCACUCCUUCAACAAACUUGAAGAAGCUACCCAAGAACAUCUCAAUGUCAGACGUACAACUAGAUUGUGUUUAUUCAUGCAAUGUAGACAUGUUGUGUAACACUAAAAAUAAUAUUUUUACUCC